UGUGGCCACACCACCCUGAAUGUAUCUGAUCUUGUCUGAUCUCAGAAGCUAAGCUAAGGUCAGGUCUGGUUAGUACUUGGAUGGGAGAGAAAUAUAUAUAUUAAUACCAUAA
rnacentral:rRNA from 1 species